UGGGAAAANCUACUAGCAAUGGAAGGUGUU
rnacentral:piRNA from 1 species